rnacentral:rRNA from 1 species
GAUGAACGCUGGCGGCGUGCCUAAUACAUGCAAGUCGAGCGAACAGACGAGGAGCUUGCUCCUCUGACGUUAGCGGCGGACGGGUGAGUAACACGUGGAUAACCUACCUAUAAGACUGGGAUAACUUCGGGAAACCGGAGCUAAUACCGGAUAAUAUAUUGAACCGCAUGGUUCAAUAGUGAAAGACGGUUUUGCUGUCACUUAUAGAUGGAUCCGCGCCGCAUUAGCUAGUUGGUAAGGUAACGGCUUACCAAGGCAACGAUGCGUAGCCGACCUGAGAGGGUGAUCGGCCACACUGGAACUGAGACACGGUCCAGACUCCUACGGGAGGCAGCAGUAGGGAAUCUGCCGCAAUGGGCGAAAGCCUGACGGAGCAACGCCGCGUGAGUGAUGAAGGUCUUCGGAUCGUAAAACUCUGUUAUUAGGGAAGAAAAAAUGUGUAAGUAACUAUGCACGUCUGGACGGUACCUAAUCAGAAAGCCACGGCUAACUACG